UGAGAUCAUGACCUGAGCUGAAGUCGGACGCCCAACCCACUGAGCCACCCAGGCGCCCCUAGGUGAGAAAUCUUUAAUGGCUUCUGAUCACUUUCAGCAGAGGUCGAUAAGCCUUUUCUUUAAAGUUCCAGAGGAUAAAUAGUUUAGCUGCAAGGGCCCUGUAAUCUCUGCUGCCGACUGCUUGAUUCUGACGUGGACACAGCCCGGUCAGUGCGGAACCAGAGAAGCGCGGCCUGAACCGAUGAGGCUUUAUCUAUCACGCUGAAAUUUGGGUUCUGUAUAAUUUUCACGUAUCAGGAAAUAUUAUUCCUCGUUGUGUUUCAACUACUCAAAGUAUAAAAACUAUUCUUAGCUUGGUAGCCAUCCAGAAAGAGGCCGUGAUCUGCUAGCCUUUGGAUCUGACCCGAAGGCUGUGAUCUGUUGACCUCUGGAUCUGACCCCAAGGCCAUGGUCUGCUGACCUCUGUCCUUAAGAUAAACUUCGAACUCCUCACCAGGUUCUCAUGUCCUUCUCAGUCAGCCAUGAUCAGAGAGAAUCUGCCCAGGAGAGCAUCUAAGGACACCCACGCGUGGCCCUUCUGCUGCCAGCCCUGCCCCCUGAGUCCUGCCCCCCAUCCCUGUGCUGAAGGUCCCCUGGCCCUGCGUGCUGGGGGCCCAUCGGCCAGCAUGUCCCCGGCACCUGUGUUCUGAGCCCCCCACCACCCAGACCUUGGCCAUGCGGCCUAGGAGCAGGUGACACGGCUCCACCCCAGCACUGAUUCUGUCACCUGCUUCUCGUGCUUCCCAGUGACAGGGUGGAGCCUCUGGCCCCACCCAAGUCCAUAGGUCCCUUGGGGGGGCGCAUCCCUGGUCGCUCGUACAGGAGGCUUUGCUCCCAGGAACCACAGCCCCACGAGCAGGGUGGGAGUGACCACGGCUCAGCCAUCUGCUGUUGACAGACACCUUUGUGUGGCCUUGAUCCCUGUUCAGGCUUGUUUGGGGCCAUCCUCCCGAGUCUAAGCAGCUCAGGGCCCCCGGUGGAGUUGAAUGCGGCAGGAAAAGACACGGCAUGGGGGAGGGGACCUUGCCACCUUCAGUGUCACCCUGUCCCGGGCUCCACACCCCCAGGCCUUUGAGUGUGAGGUCAGAGGUCAGGGCCAAAGGGUGGAGGCGGCUGAUCUGCCUCUUGUCCUGCCUCCCAGCCGCGGCGGCCCAGGCGGCCAGAAACCCUGGUAUUUCCACAGAACUGGGUAAUUAUUUCAGAAAACUGUUAAAUACUGGAAGACGCUGUUUUCCCCAUUUUGUAUAACUUAAGGAAUAAGUAUCUGGAAAGACAUUCAGGGUGUCCACACCUCUUCUCUGGAUUGUUUCCGCGGUGCGGACAGACACACAGCAUGUCUGGGGAGGAGGCCGGGCGCCCGUCUGGGGAGGCGCUGUGCUCUCUGGGCACCGGGCACCGUGGCCUCCUGGCGGCGUGGGCUGGUCGGCCUCUUCGGUUACACCGGUGAGGACUGUGAAGGAGCUACGGCAAGGGUAGGGACUUGUAGAAAGGACACGCCAUUUACUCGAAGGGCAUCUCGCGGGGCUUGGGGUAGGAAUGAAGGAGUCCUCCCAACUAGUAGGCGGGGACCUGAACGUUCCCGCUGCGCCUUGUCACCCAUCCGCCUCGCAAUGGCGUCUCAGCGGGGGCCUGCCGGGUGUUGUUCCCGCAGUCACCGGGGUCAGAGCCAGAGUGGCCCAGGCUUCCUGGCGACAGGCUCAGAGACAGACACACAGACAGAGGGGGCUCUGGAGAUAAAGGACCAAGCUUGUGCCAUCAUGGAGCGUGGUUAUAAUACCAAGGCCCCCCCUGGAACCCAGCCGUCCUGGCGUCCUGAGUGAACGCGGGUGACCUGGGCUGCGGACAGGCCAGCGCUCUGGAACCGACGGUCUUGCUGGCAAGGCUGGGGCGCACGGGCUGGUUCUGGCGGCCUGGGUCCCACGGGGCGAGGGGCCGGCCCUCAGUGGCAGACGCUCAGUCGUCAGGGUGGCGGCAGGGGCCCGCCCCGGCUCCUCCGCCCUCCGCAGGGACAGAUGCCUCCCCCACCCGCGGGCUCGUGAGCCUGCUGUCACUGUCCAGGAGGAAGAGCAGCGAGAUGGCCUGCCCGAGCAGAGGCCCGAGUCCUGCUCCCUCGCGGCUGAGUCGGGCUUCCCCGCCGACCCCCCCGACCCCCGGGGCCUGGCGGUCACGGCGCACAGCGGUUCGCCUCUGCUGCCCCCGGGGGGGCCCCAGCGGCCGCGUCCUUCUUCCCGGGCCCCUGGCCCCGCGUGCUGGGUGGAAGGGAAUCUGAUCUGAGGGACAGGGGUUCAGGGGCUGUGGGGCUCGGCUCCCCGACGGCGCAGGGAGAGCGGCUGGCACGUCGCUUCCGGGACGGCGGCUUCCGGGACGCUGGCUUCCGGCGGGGGCAGGCCUGCUGGUCACGCGCGGUGAGUUCCGAGGAGGCGGCGCCAACUUUUGGGGCGUCCCCCUCCCGUCCUCCCAGAGCCGGGGGCCCCGCCCCUCCCCUCCCCGUCCCCCGCACCGGCCUCCGGGGGUCUCCACCUGCUCCCUGCCCUCUCCCGGGGCCGAGGCCCAGCGACGGCUUGGGGUCGCCGUCGGGGCCUGCCGAGACCAUCACGGGGCUGUCCUGCCUGUCCUGGAGCGCCAGGCGGGCCGGUGAGAGGUCCCGGCCACCCCGAGGCCGGUGGGCAGGAAUUGCUGAUGGGGACACAGAAGCAUUGCUGGCCUCCCGGCCGAGUCCUUGGCCCUUAGACCUGUUGCAGUGCUGGUGAGCGGCUCAUGGCCACCCGGCCUGCUUGGACCCCAUCCCCGGGACGCAUACACCCCGAGGCCUGGGCCGGCUCCUUCCCCGCCAGCCUGCUGACCCCGGCUCGGCUGGUCAGCACCCCUGAGUCCCAGCGAGGCACAGUGCUGCGGCUGGUUCCGGGUGUCAGGUGGCUUGGCCCUGCGGAGGCCCCUUCCCGGGGGCCUUGCUCCAAAUCUGCCACCCCAGGAAGCCGUGUGGGUGCCUGUACCCUGGUUUCUGGGGAGGGGGCCAAGUGUCUGAUGGAAGCCGUGCCUGCUGCGGGGACUCUGCCCACCCGGUGGCUGCCCUGGGCUAGGAGUCAGCGGGGGGCCAGUGUCUGAGUCGUGUGUGCGACUGUGUGUGUGUCUGUGUGAGCAUGUACCUGCUCUGGGGCCCAGCUGUCUGGGUGUGACCUCCACUGACCACCUGCUUAUCACCUGCACGGCCUGGAGAGGGUCAGCGGACACUCCCAAGUGCCCCGGGCCUGCCCACGGCCAUCCCCAGGCCCUGGCCAGGACAGUCGGGCACAGGGCAGUCAUAGCACGUGGAUGGCGCUGACGCACUGGGCCGCCCUGUGGGCCACCCGCAUAGUCAGAAGGAAGACACGUGCCGAGCCGUGCUUGUCGAAAAUGAUAGGCACCGAGUCUGCAGUUUGGAUCCCUGAGGGACUAAACCUCGUUAGCAGCCUGGCCGUGAGAACGUUUCAACUGUGUUUGAGCUAUCGAAGAGGGAGCUUAGCCCGACUCUGACGUCAGUCUUACCUCCGCGGCCAAGCCAGAGCCUUCCAGGAGAACUACAGACCGAUGCCUACCACGAACGUAAACACAAAACUCACCCGCAAAACAGCAGCAAACGGAGUAGAGAGACAGAGAAAAAGGACUGUUCACCACGACCGAGUGAGAUUUGUCUCAGAGGCACAAGGCUUGGCUAACAUCGGAGAAUCAGUCCCUGCAGUGCAUCUAGGGAUGGAGUAAAGGAGAAAACCACACGAUCCUCUCAGUUGAAGAGAAAAAUCACUUGACAAAAUCCGACAUCCUUUAACGAUGAAACCAUCCCACGACGUAUGAGUGGUAGGGAAGUGCCUCGCCCGGUAAGGGCCGUUUAUGACAACGUUUGUGACAGGCCCACAGCUAACCUCGUACUUGGUUGGGGCGUGCUACGCGUUCACAGCACGAAGGCAGGACACACGCCCUGUGUGCUGGACAAGGAAGCCCAGGCCGCCUCGUCCCAGCCUCGACCUGGGGUUGCGCCAACUGGGCCUGGGGUGGGGAGACUGGCCCUGCCCCCGCCCAUUUUGGUUGGAGUGUGUCCUGCUUUUAGAGUGAAGGAGACAGCUUUUGUUGCCUCUGUUUGCCCCAAGGGUGUUUGCUCCUCGGCUCCUGUGGCCACACCCCACUUCCCCCGUCCCCCAGGGCCACUCGGCUCCUGUGUCUUCCCUCUGCCUCGGCACCUGCACCUCACACGUGAGUCAAGAUGUCUUCUGGUGUCGUCCCUGACUGUACGGUUGCCCGGGUGUCUGCUCCUUACUGGACACAGACAAAGGCUUCCGCGCAUCCGGCCCGACUGCAGGAGAUUGGAGGCCACCUGCCAGCGGAGCGCCACCCCCAGCCCGUAGCGCCGCAGGCCACCACGCGUCCCGCCAGAUGUCCCACACCCCUGACAGCUGAGAGGCUGCACAGGGUGCUUGUGGAAUGGCCGUCCCCUCACCUGUCAGGUGCAGCGAGGUGGGGGUGUGUGUGUGCCACGGGGCGUCCAGCAGGAGGCUCACGUGGGCAGGGCCCUGUUGGGUCCUUUGUGUGUGGAAUAGUGGCCAGGAUCCCAGGCUCUGGCCUGGCCGCCACUCGGGUGCGGGCGGUGGUCGACCUGCGGCCGAGACUCAGGUGUUCGUGACUCGGUGGCCUGGGGGUGACGGGACACCGGCCGUUGAGCCCUCAGAGCAGGGCCUGCACAGCCGAUGGGCUCCGGGGACCGCGGUGUCGUGCAAGCCGUGAACCCCCGCGGGGACGGUGCCACCGAACCAGCCCCGGGGCCUCCACUGCUCUCAAGUGUCCACUGGAGACUGCGGAGGCGGGUGAGCAGGGAGGAGGGUGUCGGUGCCCAGGACGGCGCCCUCCCUUCCGGGGCACAGCCUCAUUUGCAUAGCAGUGGUCCAGCUCACUCUCUCUGGGUAACGUUUGAAUACAAAAGCAUCAACGGGAUUUUUAAAAAGUAAUUAGGCUGCUUUCAUGUCUGCUUAAACCCUUGAGGCUGAAGAGCAGGGUCACCAUCUUCUCCCAGAAAAGGCUCAAACGUCCUGUGGGUGCAGGCGGCGGGCAGGCCUGUGCCCCCCCGAGGGUGAGGGUGACACUGUGACAGGCCGGUCCGGCCUCAUCUGGCCCCACGCUCCCUGCACACCCCCCUCCCCCGCAGCCCCUCUGGGCAGGUGCACAGAGUUCCCAGACCCACCUGCCACACAGCCCACCUCCCACACGUGUCCCCUGGGGGCCGCUGCUUGCCCUGGGCCACCCCUGCACUGGGUUCUGUCUACCCAGACCCGCAAACAAGGAUGCCGGUGUCACCGUGACCUUCUCGCUCCCUCUCGCUGCCCCACUCACGUCAGACCCCAGUUCGGCCGCCCCAAGGUUGUGGGGCCUUCCGGGGCCUUCCAGGGCUGCUGACCCUGUCCUGGAGCCCAGCCUCCUGACCCCCGCUCACCGGCCAGAGGCCCCCUGAGGAAGCCAGCAGUGCCCCCGUCUCAGGCGCCGCAGACCCCACUUCCUCAGGACUCGGUGCACCAGCAAAUGCACAGUUUUGUUUUUUCACAUUUUCACUGAUUUCACAGGAAAAAUGGCAUCUGUCUUAUGCCAAAUAGCAUGUGACGCAUGCGGCCGUGACACUCAGAUAAGCUUGUCUUGGUGGGGCGGCCACCAGGUCCUGCGGCGGCCACGCUGUGCACACAGCUGGUGACACGGGUGCCAGCACCUUCUGGCCCUUCUCACGGGUCAGUCUUCGUAACCGUCCCGUUUAUUUAGGACGAUGUAUAGUUACGCUGUCAUAUUCCAUGAAAACUAGCUUGGAUUUUGACUGAAAUAGGCUAAACUUAUACAUAACUUUGGAACAAACUCAGUUAUACGUGUUUUUCUUUUUCCUUCUUUUCCUUUAAAACGUAUAUUUUUCCCUGUCGCUGCUAUAACAAAUUACUACAAAUGUAGGGGUUUGAAGUAACUUAGGGUUUGGGAGGUCGACCUGAGCGGUGGGCAGGGCUGGUUCCUCCUGGGGCCCCAGGGAGCGGGUCCCUUGCCUUCCACACCCCCCACCCCGGGUUGUGGCCCCUCGCUCCCUGCCAAGCUGGCGGGGCCCAGCUCCCUCCUGCUCUCUGGCCCUCCUGCGUCCCUGUCCUGAGGACCCUGGUCAUGAGGUCAGCCACAGACAGUCCAGGCCCGUGCCCCCAGGUCACCAUCAUUCGCUUUUGCCGUGUAAGGUGACACAUUCACAGGGUCUGGGGACCAGGCUGGGCACCGCUGUAGGACAUGGUUUUGUACACGUGCAUAUCUCUCCUUUUCCUCGUGUGCCUCAGUAAAGUUUUACAGCUUUCUUACAAAUAAGUCUCUCAGUCCUGUAAAAACGUAUACCUUCUGCUGCUGGAAUGGAAGGUAUUGGGAUUUUCCCCUCACUGAUUAUUGCUACUCUACAGAAAAGCUAUAGAGUUGUUUACACAGUCAUAUUUCCAGCGCCUCUCCGGAAGUCUUUUAUGAAUGCCCGUAGGCUCUCGUCAUAUGUCCUUGAGACUUCGCAGCGCCAAGGCACUGCCCUGACAGGUCAGGACGAUUUUAACUCCUGAGCGAGAAUUAGAGCCCACACUUGCAGGGUAUUGGAUGGGAUUGUUCGGGCUCCUCAGGGGUGGCACAGGUUGUUGAGUAAGGGUCCCCGUGUUGUGUCACCUUCUCACAGCUGCCCCCUGACGGCUCUGUCCCUCACCCAGGCCCUCGUCCUGCAGAGGUGGCCAGCGGUCUGGCAUGCUAGGUGGGGGGCAGAUUUCCCCGCUCAGGUGUUUCUGUGGGUGCGCAGGGAGCAGGAGCGAUUGUCAUAACCAAAUCUCUAGGCGACGGGACAUAAAAUAUUUAUAUCUGUAUCAGGGAAGACAAAUUAAGCCAAUAAUAAAAACAGUCUGGAGACUAGUGCCAGCUCUUUUAUUUAUGAGAGGGCCCCCUUCCCAGGGGGCGGGAGCGGGGAAAGUGAUUGGUGACAGUUGUUCUUUGUGGGGACGGCUCUGUCCCCGCAUCCCACGAGCUCGGUGAGACCUGCUGCCCUAAUGAGCUCGGUGAGACUCGUAGCCCUAAUGAGCCAGGCAGGGGGACGCUCAGCUCCAGAGUGCGCUGGCCCUCCUGUGACGGCCGCACUGGCCUGUGGCACCCUGGGGGUCGGGCUGCAUCACGGCUGGCGGCCACGCGGGCAGACCGUGGCCUCUGUCGUAGGGACACGAGAAGUACCGACGUGCAGCACGACUUCAUUGGAGGGGUGUUGGGAAAAGGGCACGUGUGUGUAUAUGUGUGCCUGC